rnacentral:rRNA from 1 species
CUUUAGUGGCGAACGGGUGCGUAAUACGUGAGAAUCUGCCCUUAGGAGAAGAAUAACUGCUGGAAACGGCUGCUAAAUCUUCAUAUGUCGAGAGAUGAAAUAGCUUAGGCUGCCUAAGGAUGAGCUCACGCCUGAUUAGCUAGUUGGUGAGGUAAUGGCUCACCAAGGCCACGAUCAGUAGCUGGUUUGAGAGAACGAUCAGCCACACUGGGACUGAGACACGGCCCAGACUCCUCCGGGAGGCAGCAGUGAGGAAUUUUCCGCAAUGGGCGAAAGCCUGACGGAGCAAUACCGCGUGAGGGAUGAAGGAUUUUGGUCUGUAAACCUCUUUUCUCAAGAAAGAAGUUCUGACGGUACUUGAGGAAUAAGCAUCGGCUAACUCCGUGCCAGCAGCCGCGGUAAUACGGGGGAUGCAAGCGUUAUCCGGAAUCAUUGGGCGUAAAGCGCCUGUAGGUUGUUUAAUAAGUCUGUUGUUAAAGACUAGGGCUUAACCCUAGAAAAGCAAUGGAAACUACUAGACUAGAGUAUGGCAGGGGUAGAGGGAAUUUCUAGUGUAGCGGUGAAAUGCGUAGAUAUUA